rnacentral:rRNA from 1 species
AUACGAAGGGGGCUAGCGUUGUUCGGAAUUACUGGGCGUAAAGCGCACGUAGGCGGAUCGAUAAGUAAGGGGUGAAAUCCCAGAGCUCAACUCUGGAACUGCCUUUUAAACUGUCGAUCUGGAGCAGAGUAGAGGUGAGUGGAAUUCCGAGUGUAGAGGUGAAAUUCGUAGAUAUUCGGAGGAACACCAGUGGCGAAGGCGGCUCACUGGACUCUUGCUGACGCUGAGGUGCGAAAGCGUGGGGAGC